GGGGAUUUAGCUCAGUGGUACAGCACCUGCCUGACAAGCAUGAGGUCCUGAGUUCAAUUCCUGGUAUCUGCC
rnacentral:tRNA from 1 species